rnacentral:rRNA from 1 species
GAUGAACGCUGGCGGCGUGCCUAAUACAUGCAAGUCGAGCGAACGGACGAGAAGCUUGCUUCUCUGAUGUUAGCGGCGGACGGGUGAGUAACACGUGGAUAACCUACCUAUAAGACUGGGAUAACUUCGGGAAACCGGAGCUAAUACCGGAUAAUAUUUUGAACCGCAUGGUUCAAAAGUGAAAGACGGUCUUGCUGUCACUUAUAGAUGGAUCCGCGCUGCAUUAGCUAGUUGGUAAGGUAACGGCUUACCAAGGCAACGAUGCAUAGCCGACCUGUGAGGGUGAUCGGCCACACUGGAACUGAGACACGGUCCAGACUCCUACGGGAGGCAGCAGUAGGGAAUCUUCCGCAAUGGGCGAAAGCCUGACGGAGCAACGCCGCGUGAGUGAUGAAGGUCUUCGGAUUGUAAAACUCUGUUAUUAGGGAAGAACAUACGUGUAAGUAACUGUGCACAUCUUGACGGUACCUAAUCAGAAAGCCACGGCUAACUACGUG